GCGCACCAGUCGAGAAUAGUCUACAAUGGACGAAAGUCUGAUAGUGCGACGCCGUGUGUGCGAUUAAUUCCUUCGGGAUGUAAAGCACUUUUCUAUGAGAUAAAAGCUCUUUAGGUUAAUAGCUUAUUGAGACGGAUAUUAUUAUAGGAAUAAGCUCCGGCUAACUCCGUGCCAGCAGCCGCGGUAAUACGGAAGGAGCGAGCGUUGUCCGGAUUUACUAGGCGUAAAGGGCUAGUAGGCGACUAAUUAAGUUAUAUGUUAAAUCCCACGGCUCAACUGUGGUCCUGCAUGUAAUACUGGUUAGAUAGAGUACUGUAGAGGAAGGCAGAAUUCCUGGAGUAGCGGUGGAAUGCGCAGAUAUCAGGAAGAAUACCAAAAGCGAAGGCAGCCUUCUAGGCAGUUACUGACGCUGAAUAGCGAAGGUGUGGGUAGCGAGCAGGAUUAGAUACCCCCGUAGU
rnacentral:rRNA from 1 species